ACAGAGGGUGCAAGCGUUAAUCGGAAUUACUGGGCGUAAAGCGCGCGUAGGUGGUUCGAUAAGUUGGAUGUGAAAUCCCCGGGCUCAACCUGGGAACUGCAUCCAAAACUGGCGAGCUAGAGUAGGACAGAGGGUGGUGGAAUUUCCUGUGUAGCGGUGAAAUGCGUAGAUAUAGCAAGGAACACCAGUGGCGAAGGCGACCACCUGGGCUAAUACUGACACUGAAGUGCGAAAGCGUGGGGAGCAAACAG
rnacentral:rRNA from 1 species